UACUUUAUACAACACUGCACUACAUAUACAUAUAUAUAUAUAUAUAUAUACACACACACACAACAUUAUCUACCUACAAAAUCCUAAAAAUCAGCCACCGUUCCCCUUUGCUCCGCCCCCAGGUCAACUCUCCAUUUGCACGGUUUACAACAGUAACCCUCCGGUUGCCUACUUAGUGACUUUUUCGCUAUAUUUUGCACACAGGCAAAAAGAAUCAGCAGGUCAGGUUUUUCAAAGAUCGAUGAUUGGGCAAAAAAAUUGCAAUUGGUGCGAAGCUGCUUUUUUUUUAAUAGCAAUUUUUCUGUAGAACGUUUGAUAACUAAUCAAUGUGAAGACCAUUACUAAAACAAAAUAGUUAUUAAAGAAGUACUUGGACAUCUUGAAUAUGUCUACAUAUUCGACAGAACAUUCCUAAUGAAGAUAAACUGGACGGUAUUAUCUAUUUAUUUAUCCUUCUUCAUUUCUAUGUUUUUUUCAUCUCCUCCCUCUUUCAAUUUUUAAUCAACUGAAUCUUUCUAAUUAUAAGGUUUAUUUCCUUACCAAGCUCAUAGUCAGGGUGAGUAUUUCCCCUCUGACAGCCAAACCUGGUCAAAAUCUUUAUUCUGUGGCAAUUGGAUUUUAUCUGCGUGUCUAUCUGAACGGCACUUGGACUAUUUUGCCCUUCGCUUGUAGCAGCAGGACAUUUCCUCCCGCCGCUGCUAGCUGGAGGCUAAAGCUAGUUCCGCUUUUUAACUUCGCCUUGAGCGCGAGCAAGCAGAGCAGUUUAUUACUUUUAUGUAACUUUGGCAGUUUUCUUGCUCUUUAAAUAGUCACAGAAACCCGUUUCACAGCAACACUGACUUUUAGUAUCUUUAAAAACACGACAUGCAAAGCAAAACACAGCUGGGAGAACUCAGCCUGUUUAAUGUACUCACCACUUGGAGCUGGCUUUCAGAGCGCGAUCUGGAGAGGAGACAUUUCUGAUUUUGUGUAACCCUGUUCCGAUGCUUUAAAAUUAACAUCCAUAUUUUGACAGCUCCCUGCUUCUUGCUCAGUCCGAACACCCGAACCCGAAAGCUCCACCGCCUCUGACUCCGCAGGCACCAGAUCAGACCCAGAUCCAGGUUCUGGUGGACCGUAGAGCCGCUGUUAGCAAGGCUAACGGUGGUUCUGUUCCAUGUCCAAUAUGAGGUUUAAAAACCCUGUAGCUUGGAUAUUUUCUUCAUCACCUCUCUGUCGCGCUCCGCUGUCAUACUUUCUGUUGUCCAAGGUAUUUUAUUUGUAACUGACUUAAUGGAUAGUAAUGGUGUUUUGUUAGAUCAUAGAGAUUUUACCAACAAAUUUGAUCUGAACUGUACUUGUAAUGAAUAUCUAAAAGUAUGUAAAUCUAUUCCUGUAGCUCUGAUCCAUCUCAUCCAAAACACCUUAAGAUAUUCAAAUGUUAUUUCAUCUUUACCCAAAUUGAAAAUUGGAGAAUAUAGUGUGACUGAUAGAAAGUGCAAUAAUGUUCUGCUUGUGACGGCCUUCAAAUCUAAAUUAUUUAAUGAUUACAACAAUAGUAUCUUGAUAACAACCAAUCUGUCUAUUAUAAAGAAUUUGUUCUCCAAGUAUGUAAAAUGGCCGAUUUCACCAAAGGUUAAAGAAACUCACUUCAAAAUCUCACAAUUUUUACCCAGUGGCUGAAUUUUUUCACAAAAGAUUUAAAUUUGAUUCAACAUGUUGUGCCUUUAGUGAAUGUCCAGAAGAAUCAUUAAUCAGCUCUUUUUUUCUGUCCUUUUUCUUUUAAACUAUGGAGAGACAUUAAAAAUUGGUUGUCCCUUAAAAUUGAAGCCAUCCCAGAGAUAACCAUCACCCACAUAUUAUACUAUGUUGAUGGCCUUGAUAGUCAAAUAUCUGACAUGGUAAAUAUUGUCUUCUUGCUUGUUAAAUAUCAUAAAUCCUGCUGUAAAUGGAGAGGUUCUACACCUUGUUUUGAUUUUUUUUCUUAACCAAUUUAAAUUGUAUUACACCUCAUUGAAACAUUUGAAAUCUAUUUCUGCAAAAAAGUAACUGCCAGUAUCUCUACUUUUCUUUUGUUUUAAAAUCUUGCUCUAUUGUUAUUCAUUUGCCUUACUGUUUAUGUGCUGAUGUAACAAGUGUGUAAAACUGUUUAUAUUUCACCUCAAAUCCAUCCUCAUUACCUGUGUAUAUUUGUUUUUCUUAGUUUUUGAAUUGUAUUUUAUUUUGGCGGAGAAGCUUUUAUUUUCUUGUUUCCUGUCUCCGUGUCAUAUCCUGUGUGUUCGCGCUGCCCUCCUCAGUUCGCGCCAAGCUGCGCUGGGGAGAGGUAAGCGUACAAAGUUGUCUUGUGUUUGUCUGUUGAAGUAUUCAAAAUGUCCUUAAAAGUAUUUUUGCCAAACUCGCAAGUUUUUAUAUGUUGUUUCCCAACUGUUUUAUGUUUAGCGCAGCACUGUACUGGGCACUUAAUUCCCACGUUAAGGACAUUUAUUGAGUUUACCGUGCCAAUGUGGUUAUUUUUGUUCUUUUGAUUUGUUAAGGUGUGUGUGGGAAAGCCAGAGCCCAAGAACUGGAGUGCUGAUGCAUUUUUUGUUUUAAACAGAGAAUUUUGGUUGGUUUUACCACAGUCCUGAGUUCGCGCCAAGCUGCGCUGGGGAGAGGUGUGUGUGGGAAAGCCAGAGCCCAAGAACUGGAGUGCUGAUGCAUUUUUUGUUUUAAACAGAAUAAAUCUGCCCUACUGCUGCAAUACACCCUGGUGUCCUCGUCUGCUGGUUCCCUUUGCCUAUACACACAACGCAGAGUACAUGUACAACAGAUGAGUCGGAUGAGUGCGGCUACAGUGGUGCCGUGACCCGGAUCCACACUGCUUCGGACAAGUUCAUCGUGGUUCGUGAAGAGUGGAUCAACGUCAGCUGGUCACCUGAGGUUGCUUGUUACAUUAACCCGUCUAUACAGACUGAAUAGUGUGACAGAGUCAAACGUGGAAUAGUGUUCCAGCAACAAAAACAGAUAUUGUGUAUAUAUUUGGUUUUAUGUAAAGAACUGUAAAAAAAAAAAAAAAAAAAAAAAAAAACUGAAAAUGACUUAUGUUAAAAAUAAGG